GAGGGUCGUGGGCAGGUGAGUCUCACCGACCUGGUGCGUCAGUCACUGCGCAUGCGUCCGGAUCGUGUGGUGCUCG
rnacentral:tRNA from 1 species